rfam:Anolis carolinensis unplaced genomic scaffold chrTn2651, whole genome shotgun sequence.
UGUCCUAACCUAACUACCCCAAAAGGGCCAGCUUCCAUAUGAUCUUGGAAGCUAAGCAGGCUCUGCCCUGGUUAGUAUUUGGAUGGGAGACCACCAAAAAUCCCAGGUGCUGAGACCU